rnacentral:misc_RNA from 1 species
ACAAAUCAAAUUGUGGUGAUGAUGUUUAAUGAUGUGUAGUGUUGAGUUCAACACUGUAUAACAUCAAACGCCAUCACUUAACAUUUGUGCUCCAGGCAUUUCGUCUGGGUGCAAUUAUAUAUCAUAUAUAUAUUCAUUAUUGUCAGUUGUUUGUCUAUUUUAAAUUUAUAAUC